AAAACACAAACUGAGUUUACUGUGGGCUACCUGCCCGUAUUUAUGCAGGUCUCCCACUUGGUGGACACUCCCCUAGGGGACCAAAUGGGAGACUGGAAUAGCAGAAGGACAUGGGGACAUUUCAGACAUACAUCCCCACAAUAUUCCCAGCAUGCAUCACAGUUUCCUCCCCUCUGCUCGGGAGAUAAUUGAGAAGUAAUUCAAUUAUCUCCCAGGGCAGAGGCAAAUCGCCAUUUUAAAUACAAGUCACAAAAUACAU
rnacentral:lncRNA from 1 species